AAAGAAUCACCUUUUAGGAGAACAAAGAAUCACAUCAUAAAUGAACCAACUCUCCUUUGCUGGAUUACAUCAAACCAUCUUACCCUUUUAACAAGAAGAAACCUAAGAGAGAAUUAGAAGUAGGGAAGUUUAAAAAAUUCAUGGAGAUGCUCACAUCGUUACAAGUGAACAUUCAUUUUUGUGAUGCUUUGGAAUAAAUGUCCGUUUAUGCUAAAUUCA
rnacentral:lncRNA from 1 species